CUCUCUCUCUCUCUCUCUCUGGCUCUCUGUAGCUCUCAGAUUGCUUAAUUGGUGAUUGGCAGUGGGAAGAGCUACACCUGUGACAAGUAGAUUGCACCUGAUAGACUAGGAUAUAUAUACUACAGCCCCGUGAUCCUGCUGGGUCCUCUACACAGACGGGCCUGGAGGAUCACCCCAUCUGUUUGCCACCUCAUCAUUUACCAUUAUACUAAAUUAAUUCAUUGUUGUACUGAGAUGUGGAUACUUGCAGUUAUCUUCAAAGUGCAUUGUGAAAUUUGUCUAAAUUCUGGAUUAAAUCAUUAUUGUUGAAUCUCUCUUGUUAGACUCCAUUUUAUGUUGUGGUUUGCCUGUGGCUAGCCGUAACAUAAUUGGGGGCUCGUCCGGGAUCUGAACCCGGGUCUUUAUUCUAUACCCCUGGAUAUUUGGAUUUGGACUUGGUAUUUGGUAGUAGGCUAGUCUAGAGAAUCAGUCACAUGUCAACACUGUUCUAGUAUGUGAUUGCCCUCCCUCUCUUCGGUUCUUGGUGGUGGUGAGUAUUUGCAUCCGAGUGUGUGGCCUGCGUGUACUCGCCCGAUUUAGAAAGUUGUUUGUCAUUUUCUUGUUUUAUCUUUUUUGUUUUUGAUAGCGUCCCGGUGGGGGUUCGUUUCGGAGUGUGGGUUCUUGAGGGUUCCCCAUUUGCACUCACGAGUUCAACGUUUAAUAUGCUCCGAGUCCGGUAAGCUAUUGAAGACUAGAGAGAAAUGAGACUGGUGUAUGUUGUAGAAUAGGAGGUCGAGCGAUUUCACGCAGGUCUACGUUGUCCUUGGGUGGCAUACUCUCCACUUCGUUUGAUAAUUAUUGCUUUCUGUCUGUUUAUUUGGGCGUUAUGUCCGCUGAGAGGAACGGGAUUUAGUUCGGUAAUUAUCACGAAGAGUUAAUUGUGACGUUUUUUUUUUUCUAAUUACGGCAUUUGGUAGACUUGGGGUUCAAUAAGGUAGCUUAUUAAUUGCUGCGUUUAGUAUUAUAGCAGUUCUUGUGGUAUGAACUCGCACUUGAAUCGGAUUCUGGUAGCAAAACUCCCUUACGUCAAGUUGCGGUUGUGCUGGGCGAUUACUGGCUCUUUAAGGCUUUGGGGUUGAUCUGAAUACCUAAAGUUUCCGUGAGCUAUAGUGACGCCUGUAUUGACGAAUUUGUUUGCUACUUCCGUGUUUUCGUGCGUGCUACAUUGUUGUCAUUAGUAUUUGCCACUUCUAGGCUACUAUCAAUAAACAUUCGCCUGAUCCGGCGUUUUGUUUAUGGAUUUGAGUGACGGCGCCAGGGCUGCAGACGAUGGCGGUUGAGCUUGAAGUUGUAAGUAUGUGGACCUGGGGGGGGGGAAAGAAUAUAUUAAAGAUCUAUAAAAUGACUACCAUCAGCUCGCCUCUCCUUACCUCGGAUCUGCAUGACCACGUUUUAACAUUGUAGGUGCGAUGUCGGGGGUAGGUUGGUAAACGAGGGGGGGGGGGAAGGAUUAUUAUUUGUUUGAGUAAAUGCCCUAAAGUGCAUUACCUCUAGACUACUACGUAGUGUUAUGAUAUUUAUCAUUUAUUAUUAUUUACUGUCUCCACUUGGUAAUUAUUGUUUGUUAUAGCUGCUGAGUAUAUGGUUGCAUGUAUUUGGCUUCUUCUUUGUAGGAAACCUUUUAAGGGGGGAGGUGUUAUGUGCGCCCCUAUGUCUUGGUGUAUGUGGGGGGGCGCGUCUCUCUCUCUCUCUCUCUCUCUCUCUGGCUCUCUGUAGCUCUCAGAUUGCUUAAUUGGUGAUUGGCAGUGGGAAGAGCUACACCUGUGACAAGUAGAUUGCACCUGAUAGACUAGGAUAUAUAUACUACAGCCCCGUGAUCCUGCUGGGUCCUCUACACAGACGGGCCUGGAGGAUCACCCCAUCUGUUUGCCACCUCAUCAUUUACCAUUAUACUAAAUUAAUUCAUUGUUGUACUGAGAUGUGGAUACUUGCAGUUAUCUUCAAAGUGCAUUGUGAAAUUUGUCUAAAUUCUGGAUUAAAUCAUUAUUGUUGAA